GACAAGGGAGACAAGUGUUAUUCAUCUUUAACAGGUAUAUAGGGUACCUAGACGGUGUUUAAUGGCUUAUAUUAGUACCUUUUACACUUGAGUUUAAUAUGUGAGAGGAAAAUUUCAGAAUUAUUGGUGUAAGGGAUGAAAUAUUUUGAUACCUCUAGGACUGAUAACGGCGAAGGCAAGCCUCUAUGUAUAUGUAUUACUUUAUUAAUGGUUAAAAUACUAUUAAAAAAAAUGAAAAAAAAAAUUUUUUUUUAUAAAGUAGAUACGCUAACUGACGUUGAGGGACGAAGGCUCAGGGAGUGAAGAGG
rnacentral:rRNA from 1 species